rnacentral:lncRNA from 1 species
UUUUAGAAUAAGGGGGUUAAGUACAUGUGCAGGUUUAUAACCAAAGUACCUUGUGUGAUGCUGAAGUUGGUAGUGCAAAUGAAACUGCCACCCAUGUAGCCGGCAUAGGUACCCAAUAGGUAGUUUUUUUCAAUUCUUAUCCCCUUCCUUUCCAGUCCCCUCCUUAUAUUCUCCAGUGGCUAUUAUUCCCAUUUUUAUGCCCAUGAGUACCCAAUGUUUAACUUUCACUUAUAAGUGAGAACAUGGGGUAUUCACUUUUCUGUUUCCGUGUUAGUUUACUUAGGAUAAUAGUUUCCAGCUGCAUUUAUGUUGCCACAAAGGACAUGAUUUUUUUCCCUUUUAUGGCUACAUAGUGUUCUACAGUGUAUAUGUACCAUAUUUUCUUUAUCCACUACUACUGAUGGGAAACUGGGUUAAUUUCAUGUCAACCCAUGUAAUAUUCUAUUGUGAAUAAUGCUGUGAUGAAAAUACGGGUGCACGUGUCUUUUUGGUAGAAUAAUUUAUUUUCCAUUGGCUAUAUACCCAGUAGUGAGAUUGCUAGGUUGAAGAGUAGUUCAACUCUCAGUUCCUUGAGGAAUCUCCUAACUGCUUUUCACAGUGACUGAACUAAUUUACGUUCCCACCAACAGUGUAGCCUUGCUGACACAAAAACCCUUCUGUCUGGUGUGAAGUGGUUUCUCAUUGUGGCUUUGAUUUGCAUUUCUCUGAUGAUUAGUGAUGGUGAACAUUUUCACGUAUGUUUGUUGUCUCAAAGCCCCAAUGCUUUAAUCACAUGGUUGGUAUUUCUGUGUGAUCGGCCCCUAUCCUGAGUCAUCUCAUUAGCUUUAAAUAUCUAGGGGCCUACCGUAAGCCACCUUGUUAGUAUAAACUAUCAGAACCUACCAAGAAUAACAAAUAUGCUCCUCUCACUUGAACAAUCCCAAGGAUUGAGAGGCCACCUCUCAGAAACAGUGGACAAAGAUCAGCCAGACUCUCCAUUACACUGCAGUGCUUUUCAUGUAUUAUCUAAUAUAAUUCCUAUGAUUCAUAUGUUCACCUGCAGAGUUGGGUGGUGUUACUCCAGAGCUUAGGAAUACAAGUUCAGGGAACUUAAAUAAAUUUUCCAAGGUCAUGCAGCUAAUGAGUGGCAAUGCCAGAUUUGAAACCAUGUCUUUCUUUUUAUAUUUCCUUUCUAAAAUUUUCUAAUAUACAACCUAAUUAUGCCUCAAGUUCAAUUUUAUUAGAAAAAUUAAUAAUAAUUUUUCAUCUCCCAUAGUACAGUUACCUGGUCAUGGUUUCAGCAGAAGAAUGAAUAUUUAUAUGAAAGAUAUUUAGCAUGCUCAGUAAUUAUCUUCAAAGUCAGGAGAGACAAUGAAAUGUUAAGGACAAAAAUGGACUUGAGUUCUAAUUCCUGCCAAUUCCUAACUAGCCACUAAAUCUGUCACUUUAGUUAAAGUAUUUAUGAUCUCUGAUAAUCAGUUUCUAUCUACAAAUGCUCACCUAUAUUCCAGGAUUUUCAUAAAAUUCAAAGAACAGUUGUGAAAGUAGUGGCCUAUUCCCAAAUUCCCUUAUUUUCCUCUAUUUAUCCAUAACACUUAGUAAUAUUUCAAAUGAUUUAAAUAUAUAAUUUCAAUAGUUAAACAGAUUGUAAAAUUUCAAUCACAAAGAAUUAGUUUUUCAAUGAUAUAACCCAAAUUUCCAGAUUAGGUUCUGGUAAGUAGUAGACAUUCAAGUUUUGAAGCAUAUGGUACGUGGCAUGAACUGUGAAUAGAGCAAACUUUAACUUCCUCAAACCAAUUAUCCCACUGAGGAAACCAGGAAAAACUGUAGAAAAUAUUUUUAAAAUAUGUGUAUGGUAAUAGAGACGAUAAGAAAAUAUUACAAAGUUACUGGACCAAGAACCAAAGAAGAAGGAGGUCUGGAAAAAAAAAGCAGAAUUUCAGCUUCUUUAUGUCAAGGGCAUUUGCUGAUUAUAGAAGAUUGUUCUUAACAGAUUUGCUGUGCUAGUGAAACAAAAAUUGGGGUCCAAGGAUCCCCCAUUAGAGAGCAGGUCAGGAAAGCUGGUGGAUCUAUCUAGGUUUGGACUGGAUCCCCCAGGUGCUUUACCCUUAAAGUACAGAUAAACUAAAAGUACACAGGUCCUUGUAGAAAUCGGCAGUUUUGCUUGAAUUGUGUCAAUUCUGGAAAUUGUUUAGGUUGAUCCAUGAUUGCUAGUGUCUCCAAGGCACCCUCAACGAAUCCCGAAAAUGUCUGGAGUCAUCUCAGAAGGGAGUAGGCGCUUUGCAUGACCCAAAAUAAAAAGGAAAAAUGGCAAGAUGGCCGAAUAGGAACAGCUCCGGUCUACAGCUCCCAGCGUGAGCAACGCAGAAGACGGGUGAUUUCUCCAUUUCCAUCAGAGGUACCGGGU